rnacentral:lncRNA from 1 species
AGGCAGAGGAAACUGCUUGGGGUAAAGAAAACAAAAAACGCAACCCCCCCAGCAUGGUGCGUACUGGAGAUGAGAAAAUGGAGGUACCAAAAAGUGGGCUCUGAACUGCAGAGCCUGGCUCCAGAGCCCUUGUAUUUGACUACUGGGAUCCACCGUUAUUCUCACAGCCGCGUUUCCCACAGGGCUGCUUUGUAUGGCCUCUUAGAAAAGUCCUGCCUGUCUCCACCAUCCAGACUAUGAUGUCCGUGAGGUCAGAGGAAAGGGAGAAUGUCUCACAUACAGAAAAUGCUUGAUCAACAUUGAUGGAAUCAUAAAUGGGCCUCAGCGGCACCUGUCCUGAGUCAGCAUCUCACAGAGGUUUUGCCAGCGCCAGCCACAUCUCCAGCAUGAAGGUGAUUGUCUGAGUGUGUCCAGUCCAGUUCCUGCCUUAAUAAAAAUCACUGCUGCAAGGGAGAGGGCUGCCAAGGCCCUGCCUCCCUCCAACCCCA